rnacentral:rRNA from 1 species
UGGGGAAUCUUGGACAAUGGGGGAAACCCUGAUCCAGCCAUGCCGCGUGAGUGAUGAAGGCCUUCGGGUUGUAAAACUCUUUCGACGGGGACGAUAAUGACGGUACCCGUAGAAGAAGCUCCGGCUAACUUCGUGCCAGCAGCCGCGGUAAUACGAAGGGGGCUAGCGUUGUUCGGAAUUACUGGGCGUAAAGCGCGCGCAGGCGGCUUUUCAAGUCAGGGGUGAAAGCCCAGAGCUCAACUCUGGAACUGCCCUUGAAACUGUGAAGCUUGAGUACGGUAGAGGUGAGUGGAAUUCCCAGUGUAGAGGUGAAAUUCGUAGAUAUUGGGAAGAACACCGGUGGCGAAGGCGGCUCACUGGACCGUUACUGACGCUCAGGCGCGACAGCGUGGGGAUCAAACAGGAUUAGAUACCCCCGUAGUCC